GGUUAAGCGACUAAGCGUACACGGUGGAUGCCCUGGCAGUCAGAGGCGAUGAAGGACGUGCUAAUCUGCGAUAAGCGCCGGUAAGGUGAUAUGAACCGUUAUAACCGGCGAUUUCCGAAUGGGGAAACCCAGUGUGACUCGUCACACUAUCAUUAACUGAAUCCAUAGGUUAAUGAGGCGAACCGGGGGAACUGAAACAUCUAAGUACCCCGAGGAAAAGAAAUCAACCGAGAUUCCCCCAGUAGCGGCGAGCGAACGGGGAGGAGCCCAGAGCCUGAAUCAGCAUGUGUGUUAGUGGAAGCGUCUGGAAAGGCGCGCGAUACAGGGUGACAGCCCCGUACACAAAAGCGCAUGUGCUGUGAGCUCGAUGAGUAGGGCGGGACACGUGGUAUCCUGUCUGAAUAUGGGGGGACCAUCCUCCAAGGCUAAAUACUCCUGACUGACCGAUAGUGAACCAGUACCGUGAGGGAAAGGCGAAAAGAACCCCGGCGAGGGGAGUGAAAAAGAACCUGAAACCGUGUACGUACAAGCAGUGGGAGCCCCACCACCAAAGCAUUCUCUGGUGUUGAAGGCCCUGCAAAGCAGCAUCGCGGUGGCGGAGCGUCGUUUGCGACGCCCAACACACAAAACAAGCGGUGAGUGCUUUGGGGUGGGGUGACUGCGUACCUUUUGUAUAAUGGGUCAGCGACUUAUAUUCUGUAGCAAGGUUAACCGCAUAGGGGAGCCGGAGGGAAACCGAGUCUUAAUUGGGCGUUAAGUUGCAGGGUAUAGACCCGAAACCCGGUGAUCUAGCCAUGGGCAGGUUGAAGGUUGGGUAACACUAACUGGAGGACCGAACCGACUAAUGUUGAAAAAUUAGCGGAUGACCUGUGGCUGGGGGUGAAAGGCCAAUCAAACCGGGAGAUAGCUGGUUCUCCCCGAAAGCUAUUUAGGUAGCGCCUCGUGAAUUCAUCUCCGGGGGUAGAGCACUGUUUCGGCUAGGGGGCCAUCCCGGCUUACCAACCCGAUGCAAACUGCGAAUACCGGAGAAUGUUAUCACGGGAGACACACGGCGGGUGCUAACGUCCGUCGUGAAGAGGGAAACAACCCAGACCGCCAGCUAAGGUCCCAAAGUCAUGGUUAAGUGGGAAACGAUGUGGGAAGGCCCAGACAGCCAGGAUGUUGGCUUAGAAGCAGCCAUCAUUUAAAGAAAGCGUAAUAGCUCACUGGUCGAGUCGGCCUGCGCGGAAGAUGUAACGGGGCUAAACCAUGCACCGAAGCUGCGGCAGCGACACUGUGUGUUGUUGGGUAGGGGAGCGUUCUGUAAGCCUGCGAAGGUGGCCUGUGAGGGUUGCUGGAGGUAUCAGAAGUGCGAAUGCUGACAUAAGUAACGAUAAAGCGGGUGAAAAGCCCGCUCGCCGGAAGACCAAGGGUUCCUGUCCAACGUUAAUCGGGGCAGGGUGAGUCGACCCCUAAGGCGAGGCCGAAAGGCGUAGUCGAUGGGAAACGGGUUAAUAUUCCCGUACUUGGUGUUACUGCGAAGGGGGGACGGAGAAGGCUAUGUUGGCCGGGCGACGGUUGUCCCGGUUUAAGCGUGUAGGCUGGUUUUCCAGGCAAAUCCGGAAAAUCAAGGCUGAGGCGUGACGACGAGGCACUACGGUGCUGAAGCAACAAAUGCCCUGCUUCCAGGAAAAGCCUCUAAGCAUCAGGUAACAUCAAAUCGUACCCCAAACCGACACAGGUGGUCAGGUAGAGAAUACCAAGGCGCUUGAGAGAACUCGGGUGAAGGAACUAGGCAAAAUGGUGCCGUAACUUCGGGAGAAGGCACGCUGACACGUAGGUGAAGUGAUUUACUCAUGGAGCUGAAGUCAGUCGAAGAUACCAGCUGGCUGCAACUGUUUAUUAAAAACACAGCACUGUGCAAACACGAAAGUGGACGUAUACGGUGUGACGCCUGCCCGGUGCCGGAAGGUUAAUUGAUGGGGUCAGCGCAAGCGAAGCUCCUGAUCGAAGCCCCGGUAAACGGCGGCCGUAACUAUAACGGUCCUAAGGUAGCGAAAUUCCUUGUCGGGUAAGUUCCGACCUGCACGAAUGGCGUAAUGAUGGCCAGGCUGUCUCCACCCGAGACUCAGUGAAAUUGAACUCGCUGUGAAGAUGCAGUGUACCCGCGGCAAGACGGAAAGACCCCGUGAACCUUUACUAUAGCUUGACACUGAACAUUGAGCCUUGAUGUGUAGGAUAGGUGGGAGGCUUUGAAGUGUGGACGCCAGUCUGCAUGGAGCCGACCUUGAAAUACCACCCUUUAAUGUUUGAUGUUCUAACGUGGACCCGUAAUCCGGGUUGCGGACAGUGUCUGGUGGGUAGUUUGACUGGGGCGGUCUCCUCCUAAAGAGUAACGGAGGAGCACGAAGGUUGGCUAAUCCUGGUCGGACAUCAGGAGGUUAGUGCAAUGGCAUAAGCCAGCUUGACUGCGAGCGUGACGGCGCGAGCAGGUGCGAAAGCAGGUCAUAGUGAUCCGGUGGUUCUGAAUGGAAGGGCCAUCGCUCAACGGAUAAAAGGUACUCCGGGGAUAACAGGCUGAUACCGCCCAAGAGUUCAUAUCGACGGCGGUGUUUGGCACCUCGAUGUCGGCUCAUCACAUCCUGGGGCUGAAGUAGGUCCCAAGGGUAUGGCUGUUCGCCAUUUAAAGUGGUACGCGAGCUGGGUUUAGAACGUCGUGAGACAGUUCGGUCCCUAUCUGCCGUGGGCGCUGGAGAACUGAGGGGGGCUGCUCCUAGUACGAGAGGACCGGAGUGGACGCAUCACUGGUGUUCGGGUUGUCAUGCCAAUGGCACUGCCCGGUAGCUAAAUGCGGAAGAGAUAAGUGCUGAAAGCAUCUAAGCACGAAACUUGCCCCGAGAUGAGUUCUCCCUGAGACUUAGAGUCUCCUGAAGGAACGUUGAAGACGACGACGUUGAUAGGCCGGGUGUGUAAGCGCAGCGAUGCGUUGAGCUAACCGGUACUAAUGAACCGUGAGGCUUAACCUU
rnacentral:rRNA from 1 species